rnacentral:rRNA from 1 species
UUAUGGAGAGUUURGUCCUGGCUCAGGACGAACGCUGGCGGCGUGCUUAACACAUGCAAGUCGAACGGAGUUUAAAAUGAAACCUNGUGAUUUUURAACUUAGUGGCGGACGGGUGAGUAACGCGUGGAUAACCUGGCGGAUAGACCGGGAUAACAGUUGGAAACGACUGCUAAUACCGGAUACGCUCCUAGGAACGCAUGUUCUAAGGAGGAAAGAUUUAUCGCUAACCGAUGGAUCCGCGUCCCAUUAGCUAGUUGGAGGUGUAACGGACCCCCAAGGCGACGAUGGGUAGCCGGCCUGAGAGGGCGAACGGCCACACUGGAACUGAGACACGGCCUNGACUCCUACGGGAGGCAGCAGUGGGGAAUAUUCCGCAAUGGGCGAAAGCCUGACGGAGCAACGCNGCGUGAGGGAAGAAGGCUUUCGGGUUGUAAACCUCUGUCUUAAGGGAAGAACAAAAUGACGGUACCUUGAGAGGAAGCCCCGGCUANNNNNNNNNNNNNNNNNNNNNNNNNNNNNNNNNNNNNAGCGUUGUCCGGAAUUACUGGGCGUAAAGGGCGCGUAGGUGGUGCAUUAAGUUAGAGGUGAAAGUGCCGGGCNNAACCCCGUGAGGCCUCUGAUACUGGUGGACUUGAGUGCAGGAGAGGGGAGCAGAAUUCCCAGUGUAGCGGUGAAAUGCGUAGAUAUUGGGAGGAAUACCAGUGGCGAAGGCGGCNNUCUNGACUGUAACUGACACUGAGGCGCGAAACCGUGGGGAGCGAACAGGAUUAGAUACCCUGGUAGUCCACGCCGUAAACGAUGAGUGCUAGGUGUUGGGGGUAUCGACCACCCCCAGUGCCGUAGUUAACACAAUAAGCACUCCGCCUGGGGAGUACGGUCGCAAGACUGAAACUCAAAGGAAUUGACGGGGGCCCGCACAAGCGGUGGAGUAUGUGGUUUAAUUCGACGNAACGCGAAGAACCUUACCAGGGCUUGACAUCCGUCUNAAAAGUAUAGGGAUAUACUCUUGCCUUCGGGGNNACAGAGAGACAGGUGGUGCAUNGUUGUCGUCAGCUCGUGUCGUGAGAUGUUGGGUUAAGUCCCGCAACGAGCGCAACCCCURACAUUCGUUGCCAGCGAGUAAUGUCGGGAACUCGAAUGUGACUGCCGUUGACAAAACGGAGGAAGGUGGGGAUGACGUCAAAUCAUCAUGCCCCUUAUGUCCUGGGCUACRCGCGUACUACNAUGGCCGGUACAGACGGAAGCGAAGCUGUGAAGUGAAGCAAAUCUGAGAAAGCCGGUCCCAGUUCGGAUUGUAGUCUGCAACUCGACUACAUGGGGUCGGAAUCGCUAGUAAUCGCAGGUCAGCAUACUGCGGUNAAUACGUU